UAUUUUACUCGUAUGACUAUAUCUACCAUAACACAAAUAUCUCCCACUAUUAUAAAAUUGGGAAAAAAACCGAUGGGUUAAUUUUUGAAUAGAUUUAAAAUUAUAUUAAUUGUUUUAAUUAAAAAUAAAUAUCCAUCCAUAUCUUAUAUCUUAAUUAAGUAUCACUUAUAUAACUUUUGUACUAUAAACUUCAAUUCUUUUCUAACUAAAUAUGUCUUUAAUUUUUUCUCUAAAGUAAAUAAUUUUUCAAAUUAUUAAUGUAAUAAUGUUACCUUUUUUUUCAAAAUAUUACUAAUGUUAUAAGUUAUUUACUUUUAUAAAAAAUAAAAAGGGAAAUACGAGGACGAUGCCGGUCACGAGAAAAAGGAAAAGGAAAAUGAAAAACGGACGGUGUCGUCGAAGUAACGGACACCGUCAGAGGAAGGUAAUUGGUUAGGAAUUCGGUGACUGAUUGGACCAAAAACGGAGACGGCAAAAAAAUGGCCAGCUGGACCCAUUCGGCGGCGAUUCCUUGGCCCAUUCCCCCUUAGCCAAGCCGCCCUAAAUUUUUCCCCACCGAUGACGCAACCCGAUCACCCUCUCUAUUCCCCCACCUUCACGCGCCUUUCUUCAUACCGGCGACCUACUCUCUCUCUUCAUCCUUUUUCCCCCCUUUCCCUCUAACCCUAAUUUCUCUCUUCCGAUCAAAAACCAAUGGGCGACCUUAUCACCGCCGAUUCCGGCACCCCCAACCCCACCUCCGCCACCACCCGCCGCGCUCCCCCCCCCACCCCCACCCCCGCCACCACCCGCCCCGUUCCGAUCCGGGAAGACUGCUGGAGCGAAGAAGCCACCGCGACUCUCGUCGAAGCCUGGGGUAACCGCUACCUGGAGCUCAACCGCGGCAACCUCCGCCAGAAGGACUGGAAGGACGUCGCCGACGCCG
rnacentral:lncRNA from 1 species